rnacentral:rRNA from 1 species
GUGAGGAAUAUUGGACAAUGGAGGAAACUCUGAUCCAGCCAUGCCGCGUGAGUGAUGAAGGCCUUCGGGUUGUAAAGCUCUUUCGGGUGUGAAAAUGAUGAUGGUAACACCAGAAGAAGCCCCGGCUAACUCCGUGCCAGCAGCCGCGGUAAUACGGAGGGGGCGAGCGUUGUUCGGAAUCACUGGGCGUAAAGCGUGCGUAGGCGGUUAUACAAGUCAGGAGUGAAAUCCCAGGGCUCAACCUUGGAAUUGCUUUUGGGACUGUAUGACUAGAGAUCUAGAGAGGUUGGGGGAAUUCCGAGUGUAGAGGUGAAAUUCGCAGAUAUUCGGAGGAACACCAGUGGCGUAGGCGCCCAACUGGCUAGAUACUGACGCUGAGGCACGAAAGCGUGGGGAGCAAACAGGAUUAGAAACCCGGGUAGUCC